rnacentral:rRNA from 1 species
GAUGAACGCUGGCGGCGUGCAUAACACAUUCAAGUCGAACGGUGAUGAGGACUUCGGUCCUCUGAUCAGUGGCGGACGGGUGAGUAACGCGUGAGCAACCUGCCUCAUACCCCCGGGAUAACAGUUGGAAACGGCUGCUAAUACCGCAUAAGCGCACAGUGCUGCAUGGCACGGUGUGAAAAGAUUUAUCGGCAUACGAUGGACCCGCGUCUGAUUAGCUAGUUGGUGAGGUAACGGCCCACCAAGGCGACGAUCAGUAGCCGGCCUGAGAGGGUGAACGGCCACAUUGGGACUGAGACACGGCCCAAACUCCUACGGGAGGCAGCAGUGGGGAAUAUUGGGCAAUGGGCGUAAGCCUGAACCAGCCAAGUAGCGUGAAGGAUGACUGCCCUACGGGUUGUAAACUUCUUCUAUACGGGAAUAACAUCACCUACGUGUAGGUGCCUGCAUGUACCGUAUGAAUAAGCAUCGGCUAACUCCGUG